rnacentral:rRNA from 1 species
UGGGGAAUAUUGGGCAAUGGGCGCAAGCCUGACCCAGCGACGCCGCGUGGGUGAUGAAGGCCUUCGGGUUGUAAACCUCUUUCGGGCGGGACGAAACGGGGCGCACGAAUAGUGCGUCUUACUGACGGUACCGCAAGAAGAAGCACCGGCUAACUACGUGCCAGCAGCCGCGGUAAUACGUAGGGUGCGAGCGUUAAUCGGAAUUACUGGGCGUAAAGCGUGCGCAGGUGGCUGUGCAAGCCAGGCGUGAAAUCCCCGGGCUCAACCUGGGAAUGGCGCUUGGGACUGCACGGCUAGAGUGCGGCAGAGGGAGCUGGAAUUCCUGGUGUAGCAGUGAAAUGCGUAGAUAUCUGGAGGAACACCGGUGGCGAAGGCGGCAUCCUGGACCGGUAUUGACGCUGAGGCGCGAAAGCCAGGGGAGCAAACGGGAUUAGAUACCCACGUAGUCCCUGAGCGGGCUGGCAAGGCGCAU